rnacentral:rRNA from 1 species
CCUACGGGAGGCUGCAGUGAGGAAUCUUGGUCAAUGGACGGAAGUCUGAACCAGCCAUGCCGCGUGCAGGAAGACGGCUCUAUGAGUUGUAAACUGCUUUUGUACAAGGGUAAACCUGAAUACGUGUAUUCUGCUGAAAGUACUGUACGAAUAAGGAUCGGCUAACUCCGUGCCAGCAGCCGCGGUAAUACGGAGGAUCCAAGCGUUAUCCGGAUUUAUUGGGUUUAAAGGGUGCGUAGGCGGAUUGAUAAGUUAGAGGUGAAAUGGCCGGGCUUAACUCGGGGACUGCCUCUAAUACUGUUGAUCUAGAGAGUAGAUGCGGUAGGCGGAAUGUAUGGUGUAGCGGUGAAAUGCUUAGAUAUCAUACAGAACACCGAUUGCGAAGGCAGCUUACCAAUCUAUAUCUGACGUUGAGGCACGAAAGCGUGGGGAGCAAACAGGAUUAGAUACCCCUGUAGUC